rnacentral:rRNA from 1 species
UACGGAGGGAGCUAGCGUUGCUCGGAAUCACUGGGCGUAAAGCGCACGUAGGCGGCUUUCUAAGUCAGGGGUGAAAUCCUGGAGCUCAACUCCAGAACUGCCUUUGAUACUGGAGAGCUUGAGUCCGGAAGAGGUGAGUGGAACUUCGAGUGUAGAGGUGAAAUUCGUAGAUAUUCGGAAGAACACCAGUGGCGAAGGCGGCUCACUGGUCCGGUACUGACGCUGAGGUGCGAAAGCGUGGGGAGCAAAGCAGGGAUUA